CGGAGCUCGGCGCCGAAGCCGCCGUCCCGCGGGCCGCGAACGGUGUUUGUAAUUUCUACGUUUUUACACGUUCGUUUAUUUGUUUUUAUUUUUCGCGCUCCGUGCUCCGCGCCGCGGGACGCGAAGGGCGAGGGGGGAAACGCAGCCGUCGCCUCGCCGUUUACUCGAGAGAAAUCGGGGCGAGCAGCGAGAGGAGCUCCCGAGCCCGGCCCCGCCGUGCCGCCCCGCCGCCGCCCGCAGCCCGACCCCGGAUCCCGGUGCCCGCACCCGAGCGCGUUGCAGAGGGCCGCCCGGCGCUGGGUUUGAGAGCGGCCCGAGAAGGAGACGCCCUUAGGACGGAUCGUAGAUCGUAGACCGGGGAGGUUCCGGCGGGCACAGCGCGGCUCGGCUGGGAGCGGCACGGGGUGACGGCCGAGAGCCCCGGGCGCCCCGACGGCGCGGGCGGCCCUCGGCGUCACCGCGGCCCCUUCGGGGCUGAUCCCGUGGCCCCGGGUGGGCAGCGAGAGAACGAACCAACGUGUCCUUGGGCCAGAGGGGACGUGACACCGGCCGCCUGUUCUCCUGCCUCUCACGGCCCCGCAUCUUCCCAGCUCCCAGCGCAUUGAGCCCUAUCGUUUUGAUCCCUGGCAAUAAACUCAGGGCCUUCAGCAAUUAACUCACGCUCUUCAUCAAACUGACACUCCGUAUAGGGAAGGUUGUUAUUUCCUAGGUAAGCAGGACUUUAAGCUUAAAGGAGCCUAAAAGAGCAGUUUGAGAAAAAUGCGUCCUGCGGGCAGGGCCCUCAUCUCGGGGAUUUCAGGAGCGGCAGUUUGGCCCCUGCCCGGGUACGUCGUUCUGGCAGCCAACAGCCGUUAGGAGCCGAUCCCCCGCUCCAUGACACACUGCGUCGCUCGGUACUGCCCGGCGUGCAUUUGUGAGCCCCCGGGCCGUGCUGCCCGACCCCCGGCACUGGGAACGCUUCCCAGCCGAGCCGCGGGCGGCGGGAAGGUUCCCGUCCGUUGGGUGCUGCUCCCGGGGCCUGGCACAGCCGGGGGGCGGCUGCCGGAUUGCUGCCGGCUCCGCACGCCGGUGGGAGGGGGUUGCACCGCGUCCGUUGGUCGCUCUUGGCUGGGUUUUAUUUAUUUACUUUUUUUGCUCAACGGUUGCCGCUCUCUGUGUGAGGUCGACGCAGCCCGUGGCACCCCGCAGCAGGACGGGGGCUCCCCUUCCUCGGGGACGGCACCCGGCCGCUGUCUCGGCCCCAGGCGAGGGCUUCCGCGGCCUCCGCGGGGCCGGAGAUGGACGCGUACCGCCCGCGGAACCCGAC
rnacentral:lncRNA from 1 species